AUUUGUGCUUGAGCGGUUGGCAAAUUUUCCGAAAUGUACCCGGACAUCUUUAGCUUGAUUUUAAUCGGUCAGCUUGAACUGCAGCUAUAUACUAAGAAUCUUGGAAAAGGUAGCAGAAGUGUUUUGGAGAGCCUACUUUUACUGACGAACACAUCUGAACACAAUUUGGUUAUUGUUUUGGGUAUAAAGCGUGUGAGGGCUUGGCAUGUAUAGAUAGACGUGAUUUUUUUGCAAAAUCGAUAACCAAUAAAGGUCGCAAUGGAGACGCAUCCUUACUGGUGACGAGACGUGGAUAUAUGAAUAGGACGUCGAGACUGUCGAACAAUCUAGCGAAUUGCGCUUCAAAAAUUAGUCGAUACCGACCUGAAUUUUUUGCCAAAACGACAUAUAAAACCAAAAUUCGAAGGCACUGAAUAGAAUGGUAUCAGAUGAUCAGCACAUAUUUGAACUAUUUUUCACCGACUUACAAACAACCGUUAUGUGAACAAAACUAUAAUACUCUCCUUAGCAACUUUGUUGCGAGAGUAUAAAAACAGGCUGAGCUUUUGGG